GUUCUAAGUCAGUUCAUAUGGUGGUAGCUAGGCUCACUCAGAUAUGUAUUUAUCUUUUUGUGUUACUGCCUCUAACCCCAUCUCACUCUUUGUCUGCUAGUGUCCUGCCUGAAGCCCACAGCCUGUUCUCUGAAGUAUAAGAACCCAGCUGAACCCCGGACCACCACCUGCUCACCUGAGAUCUCAAACUGAUCUUUGCAUCAUCGGGUGGAGGACUUUGGGGAAAAUCAUGAAUCUCUCCUGAGAGAUAAUGACAUGUGCAGUCAUGUACAAAAUGCUAUGCUGAUUUAAUAUUUAUAAUAAUAAAUGGAUUUCAUAAUGCUU